rnacentral:rRNA from 2 species
UACGUAGGGGGCAAGCGUUGUCCGGAUUUAUUGGGCGUAAAGAGCUCGUAGGUGGUUCGGUAAGUCGGAUGUGAAAUCUCCAGGCUCAACCUGGAGGGGUCAUUCGAUACUGCCGUGACUAGAGUUCGGUAGGGGAGUGUGGAAUUCCUGGUGGAGCGGUGAAAUGCGCAGAUAUCAGGAGGAACACCCGUAGCGAAGGCGGCACUCUGGGCCGAUACUGACACUGAGGAGCGAAAGCGUGGGGAGCGAACAGG